AUAGGAUCUAGACCUGGCGUAUCUUCAUACGACCAUGCAAAAAUAUCUGGAUAUUCCCGGAGGAGUUGGAUGAUCCUCUUUUUAGCCCCUUCCCCUAGAGCAGCACCGAUCUUGAUUUCUCGCUUGUUCUCCUCGGUACCUAUGUUGAUAAGCUCAAUCUCUUCCUGG
rnacentral:pre_miRNA from 1 species